AAGACUGGAGGCCAGGAGGUCCAGGAUCAAGCAUAUGUUUUAGGAACCCUUGUAUACAUUGAAGAUAGCAUUAGUUGGAAUCACAGGACUGGAUUUGACCACCUCUUUGCAAGUUCUGUGGAGAUGUGUCUGGAAAGAUGAUGGGUCUGAAGUACAUCAGGAAUCUCUUCUAGGCAGAUUUCUUUGCAGAGACUGGGAUAUAAACAUCUAUCGUAUGGUGAAUCUGGACCAAUUCUGUCUUCGUAUCCUGAAGAGAAAGAGGAAGCUGACUACCCCUGGAGAUUUGAUGAGCCCAAUGAGGAAAAGCUAUACCUAAUGUCCAUUCACGUUUCACUGGCAUCUUGACCCAAACCUAAAUGCAAAGGUGGUUGGGAAAUGUAAUCUCCGUGUAUACCCAGGACGAGGAAAUGUAUCUGUGAGGAUCUGUUUUUGCCACCCUCAGGAAAGUAAGGGUGUCGGUCUGGAGUCUCUAUUAAGGCAACAGGAAUGUUGUAAUAUUCAUAAAAAUAGGACUGAGUACAGGAUCAUGCAGGAAAGCCUCAAGAGGACAAAACCAAACUUUUGUUAAUAAUGAAGAGAACAGUAACAUUUUUGUAAGGAGUGUGCAGAUUGUUAGAUUUCCUAUUUCCCUGACUUGUUCAUGUUGUAAGCAUGGGUUAAGCCCACAAAACAGCGAUGAACUGCGGUUCUGAGUAAUUUCUCCAGGAGAAAAUAAUCUCCUUUAUUUAGAAAA